rnacentral:lncRNA from 1 species
CUUCUCCCCCUGCCCACCACUCCCCCUGCUUAUGUGCACGCUCUUUCUCGCUCUCUUUCUGUGUUUUUAAAUAAAUAAAAUCUUCAGAAAAAAAAAGGACUACUUAGAGGCCAAAGGCAGAGACCUGUGACUUUUUAAAAAUAAAAAGAUAGCAUGUGUACAUAAAAGCUCAUAAAAGUAAGGUUGAUAAAAUUUUAUAAAAUGGACACAUGUACAAUGAAACCUAGACUAAGAAACAGAUAAUGACCAAAACCCCAGAAGCCCUCUUCUGCCUUCUAGUUACUACACACCAUGUCCACUUGCUUCCCAGGAAGCUCUCUGUCAAUGCCUAAGCAUGGCGUCGGUACUGGUACCUGGGUAUUUCUGCCCAACAUGGGCCCCCUCUAUGAGCUGGCCAAGAUUUUCUCAGAGCCUCUGCCUACUCUGUCUGAGGCUCUUCCCACUUAGUCCUCUUUUCUCUCCCUUCUCUUUUCCCAGGUGUCAGACCUGCAUCAUGGUCUAAAGAUUUACCCUGACUACUCCUUUAAUAGAUGUUACCAGCAAUAAACCUCUUGCAGUUCUAACUCUGCCUUGAUGUCUGCUGCCAGAGAACCCAUCAAUACAGCUCAAACCUCUCUUUCCACUGCAGAAUUACUACAGAGCUUUGUAUCUCCUGUAAGAGCAGAAUUUGGAAUACAGAUGUGGAAUUCAUAAAUGAAGGUAAAUGGCAUCCAGUCUCAUCUACAGAGGAUUAGAAUUAUUGAAUAUGACUAUAAUAGCCCAUAUUGUUAUGUAACGUUUUUUCACUUCUCUUUUCAUGUGGAAAUAUUAUUAAAUAUUAAAUAUUAUUCAUCUGAAAAUCUUCAUUACAUUACAAAUAAAAAGUUGUACAGGCAAGUCAUGCCAGACCAUUCCUUUUUUUUUUUUUAAGCUUAUUUGUUUUUUUUUUUUAGUAAUCUCUACACCCAUCGUGGGGCUCAAACUUCCAACCCUGAGAUCAAGAGUCUCACGCUCCUCUGACUGAGCCAGCCAGGCGACCCCCCUCAUUUUUUUUUUUUUUAAGUUUCCUUAUUUAUUGUAGUAACAUGCCAGACCAGUCUUAAGAAAAUAUUCCAUUAAUUGUGGCAAUUUUCAAAAUGCCUAUGAAAGGUACCCAUUAUUGAAAUAAAUCUUUUGUUUCUAUAACA